rnacentral:rRNA from 1 species
GGAGGCAGCAGUGAGGAAUAUUGGUCAAUGGCCGAGAGGCUGAACCAGCCAAGUCGCGUGAGGGAUGAAGGUUUAUGGAUCGUAAACCUCUUUUAUAAGGGAAUAAGUGCGGGACGUGUCCCGUUUUGUAUGUACCUUAUGAAUAAGGAUCGGCUAACUCCGUGCCAGCAGCCGCGGUAAUACGGAGGAUCCGAGCGUUAUCCGGAUUUAUUGGGUUUAAAGGGAGCGUAGAUGGAUGUUUAAGUCAGUUGUGAAAGUUUGCGGCUCAACCGUAAAAUUGCAGUUGAUACUGGAUAUCUUGAGUGCAGUUGAGG